GAUGAACGCUGACAGAAUGCUUAACACAUGCAAGUCUACUUGAACUUCGGUUUGGGUGGCGGACGGGUGAGUAACGCGUAAAGAACUUGCCUCACAGUUAGGGACAACAUUUGGAAACGAAUGCUAAUACCUGAUAUUAUGAUUUUAGGGCAUCCUAGGAUUAUGAAAGCUAUAUGUGCUGUGAGAGAGCUUUGCGUCCCAUUAGCUAGUUGGAGAGGUAACGGCUCACCAAGGCGAUGAUGGGUAGCCGGCCUGAGAGGGUGAACGGCCACAAGGGGACUGGGACACGGCCCUUACUCCUACGGGAGGCAGCAGUGGGGAAUAUUGGACAAGGGACCAAAAGUCUGAUCCAGCAAUUCUGUGUGCACGAUGACGUUUUUCGGAAUGUAAAGUGCUUUCAGUUGGGAAGAAAAAAAUGACGGUACCAACAGAAGAAGUGACGGCUAAAUACGUG
rnacentral:rRNA from 1 species